AAACAUCAUCUUCUGAUCUGUUAAGACUUUGGCAUGUUUGUUUGAGUGAGGACAAGUAGUCACCGAUCGGUUUAAGAUGCAUGCAUGUUGUAUAAGUUGUAACGGAAUUUACUUAAAUUGCGGAAAGUCUCAAAACUAUCUCCUCUUUGGAAUAACGAAUUUGAUAAAUGCAUAAUUAAGGCUUGUGGUUCAAACAUCACCUUCUUUUAUGUUAAGACUGUGGUAUGUUUUGUUUGCCUCUACCUUCCCUCACUCUGAGAUUUUAUGGACAUAAACAUUUUGGGAGUAUUCCUAUAUAUUAUUUUCAAAAA
rnacentral:lncRNA from 1 species